AACGUAGGUUCCGAGCGUUAUCCGGAUUUACUGGGCGUAAAGCGCGUUCAGGCGGUUCGGCAAGUCGGGCAUGAAAUCUCUCGGCUCAACCGGGAGAGGUUGUCCGAUACUGUUGGACUUGAGGGCAGUAGAGGGUGGUGGAAUUCCGGGUGUAGUGGUGAAAUGCGUAGAUAUCAGGAGGAACACCGGUGGUGUAGACGGCUUUCUGGACCAUAACUGACGCUGAGACACGAAAGCGUGGGUAGCAAACAGG
rnacentral:rRNA from 1 species